rnacentral:lncRNA from 12 species
AUGCCCCAGGUGACUUUGGAAGCUUAUGGGAGUGAACUAUUGAAAAGUCUGACUCCAUGUGUGAAGAAGAAGGUGGAUGGAACAGAUGCCUCACAUCUGAUGAGCUGCUUGGGGAAGACUGUGAGGGAAAAAGAGAAAGUGAGAGAGAGAGAGAGAGAGAGAGCAAAGGGAUCAGCAGAGGGAGAGAGACAGAAAAUCCAAGCAGACUCCCCACCGAGCAUGGAGCCUAAUGUUGGACUUGAACUCAUGACCCUGAGAUCGUGAUCUGAGCUGAAAUCAAGAUUUGGAGACUUAACAGACUGAGCCUCUCAGGCACCCCACAUUCUUGGUGUUUUUUAAAAAAUAUAAAAAUAUGCUACUCUUUUAGUACAAUUUUACGUUUGCAGAAACAUUGUAAAGCUAGUAGAGAGAGUUCCUAUAUACCCACUCUUCCAAUUUCCCCUAUUAUUAACAUCUUACAUUAGCACAGUACAUUUGUCACAAUUAAUGAACCAAUAUUAACACACUAUCUGUACGUUAUUCAGAUUUCUGCAGUUUUUAUCUAAUGUGUUUUUUUCUGUGCCAGGAGCCCAUCCAGGAUCCCACAUUACGUUUCAUUGUCAUUCUCCUUGGGCUUCUCUUGGCUGUGACACUUUUUCAGACUUUUCCUGUUUUUGUUGACCUAAAUGGUUUUGGACAGUACUGACCAGAUAUUUUGUUGACUGUCCCUCAAUUGGGAUUUGUAAAAAAAAAAAAAAAAUUGGGAUUUGUCUGAUAUUUUUCUCAGGAUUAGACUAGGGUUAUGGGUUUUUAGGAGGAAGGCUAAAGAGGUAUAAGUUUCAUUUCCAUUAUGUCACAUCAAGAGAAUAUACUAUCAACAUGUCUUAUUGUUGAUGUUGACCUGAUCACUUGAUUAAGGUAGUGUUUGCUAGGUUAUACACUUCCCUCUUUUUCCCUACUGUAUUCUUUGGAAGGAAGUCAUUUUGGGCAGCCCACCUUAAGGAGGAAAGGUUAUGCUUAUCUGCUUGAAGGCAGAGAGUAGCUAUAUAAAUUAUUAGGAAUUUUUCUUCAUGGGAGAUUUAUCUGUUCUCUCCCAUCCAUUUAUUUAUUCAACCAUUUAUUUAUAUCAGUUUUUGGUGAUUAUAAAUAAAGCUGCUACAUUCAUGUGCA